UACGGGGGGAGCAAGCGUUGUUCGGAUUUACUGGGCGUAAAGGGCGCGUAGGCGGCCACCGCAAGUCGACUGUGAAAUCUCCGGGCUUAACUCGGAAAGGUCAGCCGAUACUGCGGGGCUAGAGUGCAGAAGGGGCAACUGGAAUUCUCGGUGUAGCGGUGAAAUGCGUAGAUAUCGAGAGGAACACCUGCGGCGAAGGCAGCUAGCUGGACGAGAUCCGACGCUCAGGCUCGAAAGUAUGGGGAGCAAAAAGG
rnacentral:rRNA from 1 species